rnacentral:rRNA from 1 species
UUCCCGGUUGAUCCUGCCGGACCCGACUGCUAUCAGAGUGGGACUAAGCCAUGCGAGUCAACAUAGCAAUAUGUGGCAUACGGCUCAGUAACACGUAGUCAACAUGCCCAGGGGACGUGGAUAACCUCGGGAAACUGAGGAUAAACCGCGAUAGGUCAUUUCUUCUGGAAUGGGUAAUGACCCAAAUCUACAUGGCCCCUGGAUUGGACUGCGGCCGAUCAGGCUGUUGGUGAGGUAAUGGCCCACCAAACCUGUAACCGGUACGGGCUCUGAGAGGAGGAGCCCGGAGAUGGGCACUGAGACAAGGGCCCAGGCCCUAUGGGGCGCAGCAGGCGCGAAACCUCUGCAAUAGGCGAAAGCUUGACAGGGUUACUCUGAGUGAUUUCCGUUAAGGAGAUCUUUUGGCACCUCUAAAAAUGGUGCAGAAUAAGGGGUGGGCAAGUCUGGUGUCAGCCGCCGCGGUAAUACCAGCACCCCGAGUGGUCGGGACGUUUAUUGGGCCUAAAGCAUCCGUAGCCGGUUCUACAAGUCUUCCGUUAAAUCCACCUGCUUAACAGAUGGGCUGCGGAAGAUACUAUAGAGCUAGGAGGCGGGAGAGGCAAGCGGUACUCGAUGGGUAGGGGUAAAAUCCGUUGAUCCAUUGAAGACCACCAGUGGCGAAGGCGGCUUGCCAGAACGCGCUCGACGGUGAGGGAUGAAAGCUGGGGGAGCAAACCGGAUUAGAUACCCGGGUAGUCCCAGCUGUAAACGAUGCAGACUCGGUGAUGAGUUGGCUUAUUGCUAACUCAGUGCCGCAGGGAAGCCGUUAAGUUUGCCGCCUGGGGAGUACGGUCGCAAGACUGAAACUUAAAGGAAUUGGCGGGGGAGCACCACAAGGGGUGAAGCCUGCGGUUCAAUUGGAUUCAACGCCGGA